rnacentral:lncRNA from 1 species
AGGAAAACCGAGUCAAUUGAUGUUCUCGAUGCGGUUGGAAGUAACAUCGUCGUGAGUACGCGAUCUGGAGAAGUGAUGAGAAUACUGCCUAGGAUGAACGAGGUAACGCGUAUAUAAAUCUUAUCUAUUAAGUACAAUUUGGGUAAUCAUUGGGAGAAAUACAGUACUGAUAAAACAUUCCUACGCGUGCUUUAAAUAGUACAUAAUGCACUGUCUUGGUUUUUCACUUUUUUCUUGCUUUGUGUCCGCUUUCUUGGCAAGACAAUGUGGAGAAGAAUCAUAGAGGUCCGUUUGAAUUCAAAAUGUAUUAGAAAACGAG